GAUCCGGUGGUUCUGCGUGGAAGGGCCAUCGCUCAACGGAUAAAAGCUACCCUGGGGAUAACAGGCUUAUCUCCCCCAAGAGUCCACAUCGACGGGGAGGUUUGGCACCUCGAUGUCGGCUCAUCACAUCCUGGGGCUGUAGUAGGUCCCAAGGGUUGGGCUGUUCGCCCAUUAAAGUGGUACGCGAGCUGGGUUCAGAACGUCGUGAGACAGUUCGGUCCCUAUCCGUCGCAGGCGUAGGAAAUUUGAGAAGACCUGUCCUUAGUA
rnacentral:rRNA from 1 species